AUUGAACGCUGGCGGCAUGCUUUACACAUGCAAGUCGAACGGUAACAGGCCGCAAGGUGCUGACGAGUGGCGAACGGGUGAGUAAUGCAUCGGAACGUGCCCAGUCGUGGGGGAUAACUACUCGAAAGAGUAGCUAAUACCGCAUACGAUCUAUGGAUGAAAGCGGGGGACCGUAAGGCCUCGCGCGAUUGGAGCGGCCGAUGUCAGAUUAGGUAGUUGGUGGGGUAAAGGCUCACCAAGCCAGCGAUCUGUAGCUGGUCUGAGAGGACGGCCAGCCACACUGGGACUGAGACACGGCCCAGACUCCUACGGGAGGCAGCAGUGGGGAAUUUUGGACAAUGGGCGCAAGCCUGAUCCAGCAAUGCCGCGUGCAGGAAGAAGGCCUUCGGGUUGUAAACUGCUUUUGUACGGAACGAAACGGCUCUGGUUAAUACCCGGGGCUAAUGACGGUACCGUAAGAAUAAGCACCGGCUAACUACGUG
rnacentral:rRNA from 1 species